AACGAACGCUGGCGGCAGGCUUAACACAUGCAAGUCGAGCGCCCCGAAAGGGGAGCGGCAGACGGGUGAGUAACGCGUGGGAACAUGCACAAAGGUACGGAACAACUCCGGGAAACUGGAGCUAAUACCGUAUGAGCGCUUCUGGGGAAAGAUUUAUCGCCUUUGUCUUGGCCCGCGUCUGAUUAGCUAGUUGGUGGGGUAACGGCCUACCAAGGCGACGAUCAGUAGCUGGUCUGAGAGGAUGAUCAGCCACACUGGGACUGAGACACGGCCCAGACUCCUACGGGAGGCAGCAGUGGGGAAUAUUGGACAAUGGGCGCAAGCCUGAUCCAGCCAUGCCGCGUGAGUGAUGAAGGCCUUAGGGUUGUAAAGCUCUUUCGCCAGGGACGAUAAUGACGGUACCUGGAUAAGAAGCCCCGGCUAACUUCGUGCCAGCCGCCGCAGUAAUAC
rnacentral:rRNA from 1 species